rnacentral:rRNA from 1 species
AGUAAUGUCUGGGAAACUGCCUGAUGGAGGGGGAUAACUACUGGAAACGGUAGCUAAUACCGCAUAAUGUCGCAAGACCAAAGUGGGGGACCUUCGGGCCUCAUGCCAUCAGAUGUGCCCAGAUGGGAUUAGCUAGUAGGUGGGGUAAUGGCUCACCUAGGCGACGAUCCCUAGCUGGUCUGAGAGGAUGACCAGCCACACUGGAACCGAGACACGGUCCAG